AAAUUGAAGAGUUUGAUCAUGGCUCAGAUUGAACGCUGGCGGCAGGCCUAACACAUGCAAGUCGAGCGGUAGCACAGAGAGCUUGCUCUCGGGUGACGAGCGGCGGACGGGUGAGUAAUGUCUGGGAAACUGCCUGAUGGAGGGGGAUAACUACUGGAAACGGUAGCUAAUACCGCAUAAUGUCGCAAGACCAAAGUGGGGGACCUUCGGGCCUCAUGCCAUCAGAUGUGCCCAGAUGGGAUUAGCUAGUAGGUGGGGUAACGGCUCACCUAGGCGACGAUCCCUAGCUGAUAACCUAGUCGAUUGACGUUACCCGCAGAAGAAGCACCGGCUAACUCCGUGCCAGCAGCCGCGGUAAUACGGAGGGUGCAAGCGUUAAUCGGAAUUACUGGGCGUAAAGCGCACGCAGGCGGUCUGUCAAGUCGGAUGUGAAAUCCCCGGGCUUAACCUGGGAACUGCAUUCGAAACUGGCAGGCUAGAGUCUUGUAGAGGGGGGUAGAAUUCCAGGUGUAGCGGUGAAAUGCGUAGAGAUCUGGAGGAAUACCGGUGGCGAAGGCGGCCCCCUGGACAAAGACUGACGCUCAGGUGCGAAAGCGUGGGGAGCAAACAGGAUUAGAUACCCUGGUAGUCCACGCCGUAAACGAUGUCGAUUUGGAGGUUGUGCCCUUGAGGCGUGGCUUCCGGAGCUAACGCGUUAAAUCGACCGCCUGGGGAGUACGGCCGCAAGGUUAAAACUCAAAUGAAUUGACGGGGGCCCGCACAAGCGGUGGAGCAUGUGGUUUAAUUCGAUGCAACGCGAAGAACCUUACCUGGUCUUGACAUCCACAGAACUUUCCAGAGAUGGAUUGGUGCCUUCGGGAACUGUGAGACAGGUGCUGCAUGGCUGUCGUCAGCUCGUGUUGUGAAAUGUUGGGUUAAGUCCCGCAACGAGCGCAACCCUUAUCCUUUGUUGCCAGCGGUUAGGCCGGGAACUCAAAGGAGACUGCCAGUGAUAAACUGGAGGAAGGUGGGGAUGACGUCAAGUCAUCAUGGCCCUUACGACCAGGGCUACACACGUGCUACAAUGGCAUAUACAAAGAGAAGCGACCUCGCGAGAGCAAGCGGACCUCAUAAAGUAUGUCGUAGUCCGGAUUGGAGUCUGCAACUCGACUCCAUGAAGUCGGAAUCGCUAGUAAUCGUAGAUCAGAAUGCUACGGUGAAUACGUUCCCGGGCCUUGUACACACCGCCCGUCACACCAUGGGAGUGGGUUGCAAAAGAAGUAGGUAGCUUAACCUUCGGGAGGGCGCUUACCACUUUGUGAUUCAUGACUGGGGUGAAGUCGUAACAAGGUAACCGUAGGGGAACCUGCGGUUGGAUCACCUCCUUA
rnacentral:rRNA from 1 species